UAAUACGUAGGACGCAAGCGUUAUCCGGAUUCAUUGGGUUUAAAGGGUGCGUAGGCGGGCCUUUAAGUCAGUGGUGAAAGUUUGCCGCUUAACGGUAAGAUUGCCAUUGAUACUGGAGGCCUUGAGUGCAGAUGAGGUAGGCGGAAUGUGUAGUGUAGUGGUGAAAUACUUAGAUAUUACACAGAACACCGAUUGCGAAGGCAGCUUACUAAAUUGCAACUGACGCUGAGGCACGAAAGCGUGGGGAUCAAACAGGAUUAGAUACCCUGGUAGUCCACGCCGUAAACGAUGAUAACUGGUUGUUGGCGAUAUAUUGUCAGCGACUGAGCGAAAGCAUUAAGUUAUCCACCUGGGGAGUACGUCGGCAACGAUG
rnacentral:rRNA from 1 species